rnacentral:rRNA from 1 species
CCAGACUCCUACGGGAGGCAGCAGUGGGGGAUAUUGCACAAUGGGGGGAACCCUGAUGCAGCGACGCCGCGUGGGUGAAGGAGCGUUUCGGCGCGUAAAGCCCUAUCGGCAGGGAAGAAGGAGGACGGUACCUGACUAAGAAGCCCCGGCUAACUACGUGCCAGCAGCCGCGGUAAUACGUAGGGGGCAAGCGUUAUCCGGAUUUAUUGGGUUUAAAGGGUGCGCAGGCGGAUUUUUAAGUCAGCGGUCAAAUCGUGGGGCUCAACCCCAUCCAGCCGUUGAAGCUGGGGAUCUAGAGUGUGCGAGAGGUAUGCGGAAUGCGUGGUGUAGCGGUGAAAUGCAUAGAUAUCACGCAGAACCUCGAUUGCGA